CCUACGGGUGGCAGCAGUGGGGAAUAUUGGACAAUGGGGGGAACCCUGAUCCAGCGAAGCCGCGUGAGUGAAGAAGGAUUUCGGUAUGGAAAGCCCCAUCAGCAGGGAAGAAAAUGACGGUACGUGACUAAGAAGCUCUGGCUAACUACGAGCCAGCAGCCGCGGUAAUACGUAGGGGGCAAGCGUUAUCCGGAUUUACUGGGUGUAAUGGGGGCGUAGUCGGUGUAGCAAGUCAGAGGUGAAAGGUCGGGGCCCAACCCCGGAACUGCAUUUGAAACUGUUGAACUGGAGUACAGGUGAGGUAGGCGGAAUUCCUGGUGUAGCGGUGAAAUGCUUAGAUAUUACGCAGAACACCAGUUGCGAAGGCAGCUUGCCGGACUGUAACUGACGUUGAGGCUCGAAAGCGUGGGGAGCAAACAGGAUUAGAUACCCUUGUAGUC
rnacentral:rRNA from 1 species